rnacentral:rRNA from 1 species
GACGAACGCUGGCGGCGUGCUUAACACAUGCAAGUCGAACGGAAAGGCUUCUUUCGGGGGGUACUCGAGUGGCGAACGGGUGAGUAACACGUGAGUAACCUGCCCUUGACUUUGGGAUAACUUCAGGAAACUGGGGCUAAUACCGGAUAGGAGCUCCUGCUGCAUGGUGGGGGUUGGAAAGUUUCGGCGGUUGGGGAUGGACUCGCGGCUUAUCAGCUUGUUGGUGGGGUAGUGGCUUACCAAGGCUUUGACGGGUAGCCGGCCUGAGAGGGUGACCGGCCACAUUGGGACUGAGAUACGGCCCAGACUCCUACGGGAGGCAGCAGUGGGGAAUAUUGCACAAUGGGUGGAAGCCUGAUGCAGCAACGCCGUGUGCGGGAGGACGGCCUUCGGGUUGUAAACCGCUUUCGCUCAUGACGAAGCUUUGUGUGACGGUAGUGGGUAAAGAAGCACCGGCUAACUACGUG